GAUGAACGCUGGCGGCGUGCCUAAUACAUGCAAGUCGAGCGAACAGACGAGGAGCUUGCUCCUCUGACGUUAGCGGCGGACGGGUGAGUAACACGUGGAUAACCUACCUAUAAGACUGGGAUAACUUCGGGAAACCGGAGCUAAUACCGGAUAAUAUAUUGAACCGCAUGGUUCAAUAGUGAAAGACGGUUUUGCUGUCACUUAUAGAUGGAUCCGCGCCGCAUUAGCUAGUUGGUAAGGUAACGGCUUACCAAGGCGACGAUGCGUAGCCGACCUGAGAGGGUGAUCGGCAAAACUGGAACGGAGACACGGUCCAGACCCCUACGGAGGCAGCAGUAGGGAAUCUUCCGCAAUGGGCGAAAGCCUGACGGAGCAACGCCGCGUGAGUGAUGAAGGUCUUCGGAUCGUAAAACUCUGUUAUUAGGGAAGAACAAAUGUGUAAGUAACUAUGCACGUCUUGAUGGUACCUAAUCAGAAAGCCACGGCUAACUACGUG
rnacentral:rRNA from 1 species